ACUGGGACUGAGACACGGCCCAGACUCCUACGGGAGGCAGCAGUGGGGAAUUUUCCGCAAUGGGCGCAAGCCUGACGGAGCAAUACCGCGUGAGGGAGGAAGGCUUUUGGGUUGUAAACCUCUUUUCUCAAGGAAGAAGUACUGACGGUACUUGAGGAAUCAGCAUCGGCUAACUCCGUGCCAGCAGCCGCGGUAAUACGGAGGAUGCAAGCGUUAUCCGGAAUUAUUGGGCGUAAAGCGUCCGCAGGUGGUGCAUCAAGUCUGCUGUCAAAGACCAGGGCUUAACCCCGGGAAGGCAGUGGAAACUGGUGGACUAGAGUACGGUAGGGGUAGAGGGAAUUCCCAGUGUAGCGGUGAAAUGCGUAGAGAUUGGGAAGAACACCAGUGGCGAAGGCGCUCUACUGGACCUGUACUGACACUCAGGGACGAAAGCUAGGGGAGCGAAAGGGAUUAGAUACCCCUGUAGUCCUAGCUGUAAACGAUGGAUACUAGGCGUUGCUUGUAUCGACCCGAGCAGUGCCGUAGCUAACGCGUUAAGUAUCCCGCCUGGGGAGUACGCACGCAAGUGUGAAACUCANAGGAAUUGACGGGGGCCCGCACAAGCGGUGGAGUAUGUGGUUUAAUUCGAUGCAACGCGAAGAACCUUACCAGGACUUGACAUCCCGCGAAUCACGAUGAAAGUUGAGAGUGCCUUCGGGAGCGCGGAGAC
rnacentral:rRNA from 1 species